rnacentral:rRNA from 1 species
UACGAAGGGGGCUAGCGUUGCUCGGAAUCACUGGGCGUAAAGGGUGCGCAGGCGGCCAGGUGUGUUAGGCGUGAAAGCCCGGGGCUUAACCCCGGAAUUGCACCUAAAACUACUUGGCUAGAGCAUUGGAGAGGGUAGCGGAAUUCACGGUGUAGCAGUGAAAUGCGUAGAUAUCGUGAGGAACACCAGAGGCGAAGGCGGCUACCUGGACAAUUGCUGACGCUCAGGCACGAAAGCGUGGGGAGCAAACAGG